AAGAGAAGCAAAGAGAUACUUUAAAAUAUUUUGAGAAAAAAAUUCUCUCUAAAAUGAAGGCAGGCAGAGAUCUUAAGAUGAAAAAGAAACUUUACAAUGGGGAGAAGUAAAGAGAUUUUGUUUUGCUUGUGAAAGUGACAGAAAUUGACUUGAAAUAUCCACAGUGAAGUAUGUUACUUAAAGUUGACAUAAGAUCUUUCUUAGUAACUUUCAAAUUACCACAAGGAGAAGAGUGAGAUGAACUCAAAGAAAAUACAGGCCACAAAGCAAAGACAGGAAAAGAGAAAGCAUACUCACACGAAAGGGACAGUGGAACUGCCUAUAGUAAUAACACACAUCUGUGUCAUCCAUUACAAUGGCCGCUAAUCUCACAUGAGGACGUUGGAGUGCCUGAAAAUCGGGCUGGUCGGAAGUGAGAUGCACUGAUGGUACGUUGAUGGAGAUGAAGAAGAAAAAAGCACAAUAGGAAAAUGUGGAGCCAGGAGUGGUGAAGAAUCACACAGACCUACUUACAACUUCUGACUCUGACACCUUCCAACUUGGGCAAGCCAUUUUACCUCCUUGGGUCUCAGCCACUUUCUUUGUAAAAUGAGGGUAAUGGCACUUAGGGGAUUAUUAAAACGAUUACAUGAGAUAAUACGUGUGCCUAGAAGAUAGUAGCGAAUGUGAAGGAACAUCCUAAUUAUGUAUUGAGGAGGGUACUGCCUUGGAUAAAGGGUCAUCGAAAGCCAGACAGAAUACACCCAGCUAUCUUUGGUACCACAGUCUUCUUCAGGGUGCUCUUGUCCAUCCACAGUGCAU
rnacentral:lncRNA from 1 species